UUUAAAGAAAUAUUUACGAGAUAUUUUAUAUCGAAAUAUGUCAGAUUAAAACAUAAAAAUAUUUUGUAUUCCAUUUUUGUCUAUUUUACUUGGAUAACUUUUUUACGAUGAAUAUUUUGAAGGAUCGAUGUAAAUUAAAUCUUAGGAUUGUUCCAUUUAAAACAGUAAUAAUGACUUGCUUGAACUAUCAAAAAUGCUUUUAUCUAAAAACAUUACAUUUUCCAUAUCUUAUUCUCGAGAUAUUUUAGAACAUCAAUUAAAAUGGAAAACCUUGUAUUUAUAAUUUCAAUCACUCUACGCGAUAGGAGACGGGAAAGUGUGGGACAGAAUGAUAAAAGUGGAAGUAGGGAACGAAGUGGAUUCAGACCACUUCCCAAUUGUGAUAUUAAUUAAGGAUGGGAAAGAGGGAGUGGGUUUGAGGCGUGGAAUUGCAAGGAAGAAAUGGAAAUAAACAGAAGGGGGGAAAGAAAUUGUUUAGGGAAAAAAAUAGAGAAAGUGUGGGAAAAGAAAGAGGUGGAAGGGAGGGAAGGGUGUGUGUGCGUGCGUGCGUGCGUGCGUGCGUGCGUGUAGUGUGUGGAAGAUACUAAAGGAAGAAGUACAAGGGAUACUGCAGAAGGGGCAGGGGAGAGAGGAGGAAGAAGCAAGGAGGUGGUGGGAUGCGGAAUGUGGGGAGGGUAAGAGGAGAGUAAGAAGGGAGCUGAGAAACUGAAGGAAGAGUAGAGAAGUGGGAGACGGGUACAGGGAGGUAAAGAGGAAGUAUAAUAGCUUAUGUGAAAGGAAGAAAGAAAAGGAGAGGGAGAAAUGGAUAGGGAUGGCCAAAAAGCGAAGACGGAGGGGGGAGUGUAGACGGUGGUGAAUAAGGAAAGAAAAAUAAGAAGGAACAUUAACAGAGACAUUAAAAUAGAGGAAUGGAUAGAGUAUUUAAAGAAGGUGUUAGGGGAUAGAGGGGAAAGUAAUGAGGGGUAUAAGGGAAUAGAAGGGAGGAACAGAGACGGAAAUUAGUCGACAAGAAAUAGCAAAGGCGUUAAAAAAGUUGAAGGUCGGCAAGGCUGCAGGAGAAAAUGGGAUACCGGGGGAAAUCUGGAAAUAUGGAGGGGAGACGUUGGAAGGAUAUAUAUGGGAAAUGUGCAAUAGGAUCUGAAGGGGGGAGGAAUGGAUUGAGAAGUGGAGUGAAGGAACGAUAGUACCGAUAAGAAAGAAGGGGGAGGGGAACAUGGUGGGGGAUUAUAUUGGGUAACAAUAACACAGUUGCUGUAUAAGAUAUAUGCCACGAUACUAAGGGGGAGACUAGCGAGGGAGAUAGAGGAGAAGCAGAUAAUACUUCAAAAUCAGACGAGGUUUAGAAGGAGUAUGGGUACAGUGAAGAUAACAUCUUUGUGCUGAAUUACCUAGUUAACAGGCAAUUGAGUAGGGGAAAAGGAAAAAUGGUAGCGUUCUUUGUGGACCUAAAGGCGGCCUUUGACUCAGUGGACAGGGAAGUGUUGGAAGGGAUGAUGAGAGAGAGGGGCGUUAGAGAGAGAUUAGUAGUUAGAUGCAUGAAUUUGAUGAGGGAGACGAGGAACAGGGUAAAGGUGGAAGAAGAAUUAAGUGAGAUAUUCUGGACGAGCAGGGGAGUGAGGUAAAGCUGUCCACUGAGUCCAGGGUUAUUUAACGUCCUAACAGCGGAUUUGGAAGAGCACAUGAGAAAGGGAAGAUGGGGAGGAGUGAGGUUAAAGGGGGUAAAGGUGUAUUUGUUGGCAUACGUGGAUGAUAUAGCGCUGUUAGCGAGGAGAAUGAUAUGAUGGGAGGGAAAGGUUAUUGAGGAAGUGAAUAAAUUUAACUAUCUAGGGUUUGUGUUUCAAAGAAAUGGCAGACAGGACGAGCAGGUAAGGGAUAGGGCAAGGAGAGCAGUGGCGAUGAUAAGGCAAAUUUGGGGAUUUGAGAAGAGAAGGUUUGGAGGGGAUUGGGGGAAAAGAUUAUGGUUGUUCGACGCGCUAGUAUGGACAGUGAUGUCGUAUGGGGUAGAGAUCUGGGGAUGGAAGGAAAGAGACAGGGUGGAGAGGAUUCAAGAAAAGUACUUGAAGUGGGUGCUGGGGGUAGAUUGGAAGAUGCCGGAGUAUUUGGUGAGGGAGGAACUAAUGAGCAAAAAUUGAGGAUGCAAGCGGGAAGAAGGGUGUGGAGUUUUGAGGAGGGACUGACGGAGGGGAGAGGAACCAAAUUGGCGAGAUGUUGAAAGGAGAUAAGGGAGAGGGCACGAAAAGGGGGGAGGUUGUCGGACUGAGAGUUGGAGAGAAAAAGCUUUUUUGAGGAUAGGGGGGGUAGAGGUGGGGGCGAUGGAGAGGAAAAGGGAGAAGGAAAUUUUUGAUUUUUGCAAAGGUAAGAAGAGGGACAAAGUUGGGAAAAGGGAAGAGAGAUUAGAAAGAAUUAGAGGAUUGAGGGGUAACAGGUGGUAUCAGAGAGUAAAAGGAGAGGCAAUACCGGGAUAUCUAAAGAAGAGGUGGGAGGAGAAUAGAUGAAAGAGAGUAGCAAGGUUUAGGCUAGGAGAGGGAGUAAGGGAAAGAAAUUACUGGGAAAGAGAGGAGGAUAUGAAGUGCAGAAUGUGUGGAAUGGAGGAGGAGACAUGAGGGCACGUAUGGAAAGAGUAUGGAAGUUGAGAUACGGAGGGGAGUUGGGAGGAAACUGUGGAGAAGGACUAGGAGAGAAUGGAUACAGAGAAGAUUGGCUGAGGAAAUUGAAGGUUCAGAGAGGGUAGUAGCAUGGAGGGAGGGGAAUGAGGGGACGAAGAUGGAGGAGAGGAUGGCGGGAUAAAAGCGAGAGAGUAAGUACGAAGGAGAUUCAGGUGGGGGCAGGAGAAAGAAUGGUAACAAAAUUGAGAGGGAGAGUGAGAGUGUGAGAUAGAAAUAGAGAGAGAGAGAGAGGGGGGGGGGAGUGACUGUGAAGGAGAGAAAGAGAUGCCUACACCCGAAAGGGACGAUAAUGAUAUCGGAUAAGGUAUGAGAUCUAAGAAACAGUUGCGACGAAAAUAAAGAUCCCGGGCGCGUGUAUGUGUUUGUGUGUAUAUAGGAAAUAGCUGUAGGUUAGCAGUAAGAUAGUCGUAAGUAAAGUAAAUGUAAGGUAGAGUAAGACAGCGGAGGAUGUAUAAAAGAUUUGUAACCCAAAGUAGAUUAAAUAAAGAUUAUUCAUUUAUUCAUUCAUUCAUUUCAAUCAUUCUCUUUAAAUAUUAUAAUUUAUUAAUUAACAUUUAUCCGUUGGAGGUACAUUGUGAAUAAACAUUCAAGCACGAUUGGGUAAUUUUUUUUCUGUUUUGCGUUCUUUCCGUCUUAUUUUUUAAUGGUUUGUCUUUUGCUCACACUUAUUCAAUAGACGCGUCUGCGCAUAAUGAAAUUUUAUGCCCAUAUUUGGAAUUCGUGCAUUUCUCUUUUAUUGGGCUCGUGCCUCUCAUUGUGAAAAUACGAAAUUAGCAAUAUAGGAGUAUUACAUAUAUGGCCACCAUACAUUUUAUUGCUUCGCAGAUUUCAAAAGGUCGAAAAAGGCUUAAUUCGUAAGAUGACGCGAAAACGACGUAAUUAGUACUGAUAUGAACUAGCUGUAACACAUUUAUUGAAAUGCUAUUUUUGGGGCAAAUUAUUCAGUCAUGCUCUUAUCGCGCAUGAAUUGACUCAACUGACUGAGAAUGAUUGCGAAAUGUACACUUAGCCUUAUCAACUCUGAUCCCUCGAAAAAUUCCUCGGAAAAUUUUCCAAACUAAGAAGUUGCUAUUUUUUUACAUACUUAAGCAGCGUUUACAAUGGGUUCGUAGAGUCUCAAAAAAGGUCAUAAAUCCAAAUGAAGUUUUUGUUAAUACGCGAUAUACCAUGUUUUCUUGUAAUUGGUCAAUUGUAGUGACGGUAGUCUCUGGAAUUUGAAUUAAAUCAACUCCGAACCUCUACGACUACGACCAAAAGUACAGAAAUUUACGAUCGCUCUUGCGACUCUGCGAUCCUAUUGUAGACGUUGCUUUACAGUUUAUGAUCAACGUAACGACCAAUAAGUUCUAGUUGUUACAUUAAUCAUAAACUGCGAGUAUGUAGAAAAUGGUGAUUUCUCAGUUUGGAAAAUUCUUUGAGGGACAGAAUUGAUGACGCUGGGUGUACGAAAUUAUCUCAAAUUUAUUUAACAAAUCAAACGUUAUUUUAUAGGUAAGUGUACAAUAUACAUAAUAACAAUUACGGCAAAUUAUGUUACAAUACGCAAGUAAUGUUAACAUACAAAAUUAUGUUAUGUUUUAUUACGGGACAUGACAAGGACAGUGACUUGGCAGCGUUGGCAUGUAUGAAAAAAGAAACAGAAAUUACACUUACGCAGCACGGCGAAACCGGACAGGGCAACGUUAUUACAACAAAAACGCAGACUCUUAAAUACGCAAUAAUAGGGCACCAAAAAGGGAACUCAGCAACAAAACAAAUAUUGUCGACGCCGCCCGAGUGCAAAAUUAGCAAUGUUACAAUACGAUAAUGACGUUUGUCUCAUUACACGAUGAUAACUUUUCCUUUUUUUGAAAAUCUUGAUCUCGAUCUUGCGUUUUCUUGACUUAUUUAAGCAUAUCUUUCGGAUCGCCACUGGCUUAGGAACACGCUCACAGCACAAGUGGCGAUCAAUCAUUGAUUCCAUGAGAAACACGUAGCAAUACGUCCGACUUAUCAUAUAAUAAUUGUGCUGCUUCUAUAUUGGCCGCGGCCGUGAUUUAAUCUUUGCACAAGAUACACGAAUCGCACAGCUACUACGCGUUUGUUGAUUUCUUGGCACGAAACUCAAAUUGAUCAACAAGACACUCUUACGAAAAUAAGUAUUGAAGCUCAAUACUUAGUAUUAAAGAUUCUAAUACUGUGCAUGUUGUAAUACUCCUUGGUGAAAGUAUACGAAAGAUUUGAAUAGGAAAAUUUCUAUUUACCUGAAUCCAUUUUAGUCCGAAAUCUCUACCCGAACGAGUCAGUUUUAUACCGAGUGAAUCCAUGAAAAAGGAAUCGCAGCCAAGUGAAUCCAUCGUAAUCCGAAGUCAGCAAAAAGAUUCCAGUCCGACUAAAUCUAAUCUAAACCAGAUAUCUGAUGAGAAUAGGUAUUAUAUCAUUACAUAAUCGCAAUAAACAAAACAAUAUUUUUGUAACAUUUUAAAAAACAUUCUUUUCAAAGAAAAAAAAUUUCCGAGAAUUCCAGUAAAUAAGACUCUCGAACAGAAAAAAUGAAAGAUAAUGAAAUAUUUGUUGUAGAUUUCGUUUGUCGCAUUAUGGCACGUUUUUCUGUCGCCAGUUACCACCUUACUUUUUUUAUACAAAGGGUAUUUUUAAAUUAAUCUCCGAUAACAUUGUACAAAAUUCUUAUUUGCAAUACAGAACCCGUUUUUACACAGUUAAAUUGGUAACAGUUACCUAUUUUCCUAUUGUUUGGAAUUCUAUUGUUAUGGAAGUUAAGCAGCGAGCGUGUAAACAUGUCGACUAUGAUUGAGUCUCCCGCCAAGUGCGAAAUGCGUUCUGUUAUUCGUUUUUUUGUAAGCCGAAGGGAAUGCAGCUGAAAUUCUUUGAAGAAUGUGUUGUAUACGGUAACGAAUUUAUGAGUGACGGCAUGGUGCGUGAUUGGUGUAGGCAAUUUUGAAAAGUACAUACACCCACGGUAAUUGAUUCUGUCCGUGGGUGUACCAACAUUCACGAUAAGGUCGGCAGAAGAAGAAAAUCUGUGGCAACUGAAGUCAUUGUUCAGAAAAUGGAUCAGGUUGUGAACGACGUUGCUUCACCAUUUCUAAACUGACCGAUACUUUUAACGAAUAACAGAAUGCACUUCGCUCUUGGCGAGAGACUCGAUUGUAGUCGACAUGUUUAAACGCUCGCUUUGACUCUCACUAACAAUGAAGUUCCGACCAAUGUUGAGGAAACAGGUAACAGUGCUACCAACUUAACUGCGCAAAAACAGAUUUUGUAUUGCAACUAGAAAUUUUGUACAAUGUUAUCGGAGGUUAAUUAAAAAAUACUCUUCGUAUAUAUUUAAUACUUCGCAGCUUUUCUUCUUCUUGUUUACCAUUACUUCCAUGUGUUAUGAACACUCGCAAGGUUUACUGUUAAACAAUAUCUUUUUAUUCAGAACUGUUUGCAGAGAAAAAUGAUAGCAUCUCUCAGAUAAUCCAAGCUACUCUAAAGAACUGAAAGCUUCCUAUUGAAAUCGAUUGUCUCUUCAAACUCUCAAGUUUUCCUUUACUUUUAUAUUGUGAUUUACCUGUACUGUCACAUAAAAUGCACAUUACAAAAAUUAAUGGUAAUUGUGUACUAUAAAAGAAAUAGCUUUGAAUAGCUUGAUCUUUUGACGGGACUGACCCGUUUGCGCACAUAAACUAUUGGACACGGAUCUUAUUGCACAAUGACCCUAUUGCACAUGGACCCGAUUGGACACGGUCCCUAUUGCACACGGACCGGAUCGGACACAGUCCCGAUUGCACACGACCGAUUGCACACGGACUUGAUUGCACACGAUUGGAAACUGCACGAUUUGUCGGUAGGGAACCGAUUAAGACGGGGUGAGUGCGGGAGGAGUUAGGCCUACAGCACCCCACCGUGCGUGCGUGCGUGCGUGCGUGCGUGCGUGUGCAUUCUAGUGCGGUUUCCAAUCGUGUGCAAUCGGAUCCGUGCGCAAUCAGUUCGUGUAAUCAAAUUUGUGUGCAAUAGGGCCCAUGUCUGAUUGGGAAAUGAUCUCGUGUCCGAUAGUUUAUGUGCGCAAUCGGGCUUUACUCUUGUAUUGCGGACAUAAAGAAUAUAACUUAAUCCAACCUAAAUUUUUGUCGCAAUUGACCACGUUCUAAUUGACCAGGUUGUCACGUAGAAAGUUGGAAUAAUGUAAUAUAAUACCCACGUGGAAUAAUGUAAUAUAACUAUAAAUCUUGUUUCGUCUCAUAAGCAGGGAAAUGUGGAAUGUACCUCGUUUUGCGUUGCAAAGUACUGUGGAUAUGGAGGAUCUUUACCUUUCCUAUGGAAGGGCAAAAUCCGAAAAGUGAACCUUAUUUUGCUAAGAAAUACUCAUUUAAAUUGUCAACUACAUUUAUUAAUAAUGUUUAACAAAUAAUGAAGGACGGCUAAAACCUCCUGGAGGUCAGUAUCAUGAUCUUGAACAUACGAGGGUUGUCUGAAAAGUUUCCAACUUAACAACGAAACAAGACAUUUUUUUCUUCAAAUUUAUUUUUUAUUUUUUUUAUAUUUCUACAUAGUCUCCUUGUAAGUCUAUACUCACUUCUCCUAACGAUGCUCCCAUCUCUUCAACUCGUCCAAAUAGUACUUGGCGUCUUUCUUUGCAAAAUAGUUGUUUACGAAGGUGAUAGCUUCCUUAUUCAACAAAAAUCCCUGUUCUUUGAAUGCAAUUUUUAGCUUAGGGAACAAAAAAAGUCGCUUGGAGCUAAAUCUGGUGAGUAAGAAGGGUAGUCAAGCAAUUCAAACCGUAAUUCGUAGAUUUUCGCCAUGCCAACCGCUGAGGUGUGACCCAACUGCGCGGAGCAAACGCGGCACCCAACGCGCGGUCAUCUUUUUUAUGCGUAAAUCUUGAUUCAAUAUGUGACAAACACGUUUUUGGAUAUAUUUAUAACCUCUGUUAUCUCUCUAACCUUAAUUUGCAGUUGUCUAGCAUCAUUUAGUGAACUUGAGUGAUGUUAUCGUCAAGGGUUGCAAUUUUUGGCCGUCCCAAACGUUCAUCGUUACUCAAGCUGAUACAAUCACGUUUAAAUUCAGUUGCCCAAAAUUUCACGGUAGUAAAUGAUAGUGCAGAGUCCCCGUCUAUAGCAUCCAACUCGUCUUUAAUUUGCGUAGGCGUAUUGCCUUUCAAAAACAAAUAUAUAAUAACAGCUUGAUAUUUGAUUUCUUUCAUUUUUACAAAAACAUUCACAUUGAUUCACUCAAACGAUUGUCAAACAACAACUGCGUGUCCAAAAUGGUUAAAAUUUUGGUGAGUAUCUUUUAGUAGUACCUAAGCAUGCGCAAACACAUUCCCACUUUUGUUGACGAGUGCUACCAUCUUUAUGUUGAGAUCGGAAACUUUUUAGACAAACUUCAUAUAUGAAGGUUAAGGUGAUUGAAGCUAGUUCCCCUAUAGUGAAUAAUUAACAAAUUUAUGUUGCAACUGUUAUAAAGAGAUAUUCUACGUGUUAGUUAUCAAUAAACAUUUCUACAAAAAUUACACUUUAAUUAGCAUUAUACGUUAUUUUAAACAAAAUUCUUGAACAACGAAAAUAAAAGUACAAUUAAAAACUAAUAAGAUUACAACACAGAUAACAUUAACACAAAUUAAUUGAUCAUUAACAAAAUUUUAUUCAUAAAUCUAAUCAAACUCGCUUUGAAGUCAUCCUUAAUGUACUACAUAAUAAAAUUUGAAGUAAUUAUCUAGCCAUCGUCGGUCCAAAACGCGGAUGAGUCACUAUAAACAGGUUGCCAAGACCGAAGUGGCAUCUUCACCCAUCAAAUGUGGUGGUAAAGGAGAUGACAUAAUCUUCUCCAAGAGGCCGACGAAAACCACUGAAUAAGUGUUUCCACUUUGAGGAGAAAUUUCCCAUUUCAGGGAAUUUUUGAACUUUUGAAGGAAGAAGAUGAAAUAGGGAAAAAUGAGGAAAAAUUUAACAAAAUCGAAAAAAUAAUAAAAAACAUAUAUAGUUAUCCUUAUUAAUAAAUCCCUUUUUGACUGUACUAAGUUUAUUUAAUCAAAAAUGUGUAAUUUCUUUGAAUUUUAUUAAGUUUAAAAAUUAUGUAUGUUAUUGUAUUUACAGAUUAUAUAUAGGGAAAUGUGGGGUAAAGUGGGACACGUUUUUAUUUUUCCGUAAAAAAAUUUAAAAGAAAUCAUAUUUUUGUAAACCUGAGAUGUCCAUUCGAUAGAGAAUUUCAUUAGUUAACUUUCUACGGAAUUUCAAAAUUAUACUUUUUAUUAUAUUUUUGUUCAGAUUUUCUAAAAAGUGAGUUUUUAGUCAUUUUAAAAUAUUGUGGGGUGAAGUGGGACACGAUGAUAUUUGUCAAAUUUGAUUAAAAAUCAAGUAAGAAUCGUCUGAAAUAGAAUUUGUAAUGUUUAUUUGAGGAGGGAUUCCGGUUUUUCGGGUAAAAAGAAUCGAUUUUUUUUUACGGAAUAUUUUAGUUUAACAUCUCAAAAAUAUCUCCAAAAAAUUUUAUUUCAAAAUUCGUAAAACUUCCGGAGUUAUGAGUCGAUCUUUACUGACCCGAACGCAGAUCUUGAUAAAUUCGUCCAUGAACCGCCACUACAUGAAGAUGUUCAGCAAGCCUUAAAGCCAAUUUUUGAAGAUUCACCAUCAAAAAAAUUGUUAGAAAGAUGUUUGAAUGGUGAAACUCAAAAUAAUAAUGAGAGUUUUUACUCUACCUGCGAUUCGCAACUAAACACCCUCAUUGUGAAUCAGAAAUAAUUGAAAUCGCGGCUUAUUUAGCAACUGAAAUUUUUAAUGAAGGUUUUUGUGCUGUCCUUAAAACUAUGACAACGAUAGGAAGAGUUAUAGGAGAAAAGACCAAAAUAUAUUCCGAAGAGUGAGAUCAAUACCGGCUUGAAAGAUCAGCGCGACGAAGCGUCGAGGUUCCAAAAGAAGCUCGGACAAAGUGUAGAAGCAAACAAAUGGCUCAAAACCAAUUCUACGAAGAAAAGGAAGGACUAUUAUAUGGCCCUGGAAUAGCUAAGUAACAGAAAGUCAUAUUACCUGGAAGAUCAAUAUCGUGCACACCAGUACAUGAAGAAUUUUGCGCAGCGUUAUAUUUAAUCAUAUGUAGUUUUUAUAUUUAUAAUUAAAAAUUAACAAAAAAAAACUGUACGUUCUUAAAAGAUGGAUUAAAACAUGUUGCAAAUUUCAAAUUAAUUGAAUAGUUAGUUUGGGAAAAAAAAGUUCUUAAACUUUGCUAUGUUUUUGGCCAAAAAACCGGAAUCCCCUCCUUAAUGAUUCGAGAAUGAAAAUAUAUCAAUAAUAGGUAAUUACGAACCAAGGUAUCAAGCACCAAAGUUGACGACUAUUGAAGUUAGGAUACCUAU